rnacentral:rRNA from 1 species
CACGUAGGGGGCAAGCGUUGUCCGGAUUUAUUGGGCGUAAAGAGCUCGUAGGCGGCUCAGUAAGUCGGGUGUGAAACCUCCAGGCUCAACCUGGAGACGCCAUCCGAUACUGCUGUGGCUAGAGUCCGGUAGGGGAGCGUGGAAUUCCCAGUGUAGCGGUGAAAUGCGCAGAUAUUGGGAGGAACACCAGCGGCGAAGGCGGCGCUCUGGGCCGGUACUGACACUGAGGAGCGAAAGCGUGGGUAGCAAACAGG